rnacentral:sRNA from 1 species
CAAAAAAUCCGCGGUGCGCAGAGAGUGGCGAGGGAUGCGGAGCUUUCAGAAUAUGGUGGCGCUGUGGAUCAAUAAUCGCGCCUUU